rnacentral:rRNA from 1 species
GCAGUCGAGGGGUAUAGUUCUUCGGAAUUAGAGACCGGCGCACGGGUGCGUAACGCGUAUGCAAUCUACCUUUCACAGAGGGAUAGCCCAGAGAAAUUUGGAUUAAUACCUCAUAGUAUAUGGACUUGGCAUCAAGAUCAUAUUAAAGUCACAACGGUGAAAGAUGAGCAUGCGUCCCAUUAGCUAGUUGGUAAGGUAACGGCUUACCAAGGCAACGAUGGGUAGGGGUCCUGAGAGGGAGAUCCCCCACACUGGUACUGAGACACGGACCAGACUCCUACGGGAGGCAGCAGUGAGGAAUAUUGGUCAAUGGGCGCAAGCCUGAACCAGCCAUGCCGCGUGCAGGAUGACGGUCCUAUGGAUUGUAAACUGCUUUUGUACGGGAAGAAACAGCGAUUCGUGAAUCGCCUUGACGGUACCGUAAGAAUAAGGAUCGGCUAACUCCGUGCCAGCAGCCGCGGUAAUACGGAGGAUCCAAGCGUUAUCCGGAAUCAUUGGGUUUAAAGGGUCCGUAGGCGGUUUGGUAAGUCAGUGGUGAAAGCCCAUCGCUCAACGGUGGAACGGCCAUUGAUACUGCCAGACUUGAAUUAUUAGGAAGUAACUAGAAUAUGUAGUGUAGCGGUGAAAUGCUUAGAGAUUACAUGGAAUACCAAUUGCGAAGGCAGGUUACUACUAAUGGAUUGACGCUGAUGGACGAAAGCGUGGGUAGCGAACAGGAUUAGAUACCCUGGUAGUCCACGCCGUAAACGAUGGAUACUAGCUGUUGGGAGCGAUCUCAGUGGCUAAGCGAAAGUGAUAAGUAUCCCACCUGGGGAGUACGUUCGCAAGAAUGAAACUCAAAG